ACGAACGCUGGCGGCGCGCCUAACACAUGCAAGUCGAACGAGAGAUGAGGAGCUUGCUCUUCAAAUCGAGUGGCGAACGGGUGAGUAACGCGUGAGGAACCUGCCUCAAAGAGGGGGACAACAGUUGGAAACGACUGCUAAUACCGCAUAAGCCCACGGCUCGGCAUCGAGCAGAGGGAAAAGGAGCAAUCCGCUUUGAGAUGGCCUCGCGUCCGAUUAGCUAGUUGGUGAGGUAACGGCCCACCAAGGCGACGAUCGGUAGCCGGACUGAGAGGUUGAACGGCCACAUUGGGACUGAGACACGGCCCAGACUCCUACGGGAGGCAGCAGUGGGGAAUAUUGCACAAUGGGGGAAACCCUGAUGCAGCGACGCCGCGUGGAGGAAGAAGGUCUUCGGAUUGUAAACUCCUGUUGUUGAGGAAGAUAAUGACGGUACUCAACAAGGAAGUGACGGCUAACUACGUGCCAGCAGCCGCGGUAAAACGUAGGUCACGAGCGUUGUCCGGAAUUACUGGGUGUAAAGGGAGCGCAGGCGGGAGAACAAGUUGGAAGUGAAAUCCAUGGGCUCAACCCAUGAACUGCUUUCAAAACUGUUUUUCUUGAGUAGUGCAGAGGUAGGCGGAAUUCCCGGUGUAGCGGUGGAAUGCGUAGAUAUCGGGAGGAACACCAGUGGCGAAGGCGGCCUACUGGGCACCAACUGACCCUGAGGCUCGAAAGUGUGGGUAGCAAACAGGAUUAGAUACCCUGGUAGUCCACACCGUAAACGAUGAUUACUAGGUGUUGGAGGAUUGACCCCUUC
rnacentral:rRNA from 1 species